AUACUCUGGUUUCUCUUCACAUCAUAUAAAUCUUUCACCUUUUACUAAAGGUUUCCAUAGAGAGGAACAAUUCGAAGUCUUAACCCAAUUUUUUGAGGUCUUGCAUCUGCAGGACU
rnacentral:snRNA from 1 species